rnacentral:lncRNA from 1 species
UUUAAACGACUCAACAACUGAAAGUACAGAAAUCCAUGACAAGAUAUGAUCAUGGGAAUUGCUUGUUUGUAGUAUUUUAUUAUGUUUAUGAUAACGGUUGACGUGUAUGUCAUAGCAAUAUAUAAACGUAACAUGUAUGAUCGUUGAAUAUGCCUAGAAAUGAUAAAGAAAUGCAAUAUAACAGUAAUUAAAAUAUUUGACCACAUGGGACAGUGUCAGUAACCCAUAAAUACUAUUAAAGUCAAAUUUAAAUUGUAAAUUUUACGGCUGCUAUACAAAUCUAAUGAAAAAACAAAAGAGUAGCUGCCGUGUGGAACUUCUAUUUGACAAUACUCUUUACUUUUCUGACUUUUUUUUUAAUAGCUGUAUUUUUGUUUUUUUUGUGCAAAUCUGUAUUUUUGUUUUUGCAGUUUUAGUUGCAAAUAAUGCCAAAUUCAGCGAGUCUAAAUUUUACGAUUAAUAUUUUUUGCCUUUCAAGGUCUCACAAGUUUUGUAAUACAAAAAUAAAAGAUCUCCCAGUUUUUAUUUUUAUUUUUUAUUUACGUUUCCUUCAGGCU